rnacentral:lncRNA from 1 species
UGAGAUCACCAGGCGUAGGCGAACGAUCGUCGGCCACGCGCCACCCUUCGACGGCGACCCGAUAAUCCCGAUGUAUCGCGCGUAUACCGGCGAUACUGACUCCGGGAUAAAAGAAAGAGAGAGAGAGAGAUCGUUUUAGCGUCGUUUACUCGUUUAGCGCGGUCGCGCGACACGAAUUGGGUGGUGGCCCGUGGAGUUUAACCGCUACGCGCGCGCGCGCUCUGCUACGACGCUGCCGCACCGCCGUCGGACGAUUUUCCCCGAAGCCGAACCCGGGACUGUGACUAAAAUCGAAAUCGGUGAACGAACAGGGGCGCGUCGGGGCGCGCAUGUGCGGCGCGACGGCGUCGCACACGCCGGUCGUCGACGCAUAUUAUCCGUGCCGCGUCUCGGCCAUCCGUGCGCCGCUAACGCGUGCGCGCGCGUGCGUGCGUCCUCCCUACCUCCCCUCCAUCUCUCUCUCUUUGUCCUCCUGCCGCGCCGACGAGAUUACUAACCGACCUGACGAUGUCCGGCCCGAAAACGCCGCCACCGACACGCGCGAAUUCCGAUCGAUCGACCGGAGCGUCGGCAUUGUCGACCGACUCCAGCGCGUCGCGCUCAGAUAACUUUGAAUCAUCUCGAUCAAGAUGAGAUAAUUCUACGCGAAUCUCAGAUAGGAUAAAGAUGACUUAAUUUUAAAUUUACCUACAGACAAAAGAAGACGGUGGACGGUGUAUCGUUACAUAUUUUAUGUAGAUAACUUUUUAGGGUAAUGUCGCGGAGGAACGGAACAAUCUGGGAUAUACAAAAAUAAUAUAUUCAUAUUGCUAUUCGUCAACUUUUAAUUCUUCAAAGCGAGAACUCUUCGAAUAAUGCACUCUGAUAAAGUACAAUAAAAGUCACAGCAAUGUGUUAAUACAACUAAUCGGCUCGUCCCUUCCCACUUCCGCUUCUUCCCGCCGGCUUGCGGCACGCGGCCCGGCAGAUUCCUUGCGUAAUCAAAGCGUAUUAUCGCGAUCGGGAGACGAAACGAAACUCGACCAGUGUAUCUCGGUCUCGUUUGUGUCAAACGAUCCUCGCUCGUAUGCGUGACAAAAAGAUGUACGCGCGCGCGCUUCGUAUACGGAUAAGCAGAAACUUCGUGACGAGAGCGUCGUAUUUUUGGAACUCUCAACGUAAUUCAUGAACGCGAGCGAAUUCGCGGCAAGUGGACAUAAACGUUUCGUCUGAUGCAUCUGUAACUUACUCCGACAAUUUUCCGAAAUAACGCAAAAUGAAUAGGAUUCGUCGAGUCGCAAAGACGAAUGGUAAAGAUCACGGAAAUUAGUUGCAAAAUGCCAGAUAAUAAAAAAAUCCUUGUAUUUACUAGCCUUGUGUCUUGUGUUAUAACCAUAUCGAUUUUGUUUCUUAUUUUGUUUGUUUAAUAUCCUGCUCUUGAUAAAGAUUUUUCUUAGAGUUCUUUGCAGAGUGUUAUAUACCAACAGUUCGCUUUUAGAAAUAGAUAACGAACGAUUUCUCAGACAGAAACGCAAAUGAUCUCCGAAAUAAAUAGCGUUAGACGCAAAUACGAGGCAGGAGGAGAGAAAUAGUAAAACACUCACACGUAAUGAUUCAUCAUUUUUAAUGUAAUUUGUAUAGUAGCAUAGUAUAAUAUUAAUUAAAUUAAUUAUACAUAUUAAAUAUUAAAUAUUGUUUUUUUAUGCACUGUGUAACCGAGUAACAAUACAGACGAGACUAGUAGAAGGUGA